rnacentral:lncRNA from 1 species
GUGUGAAGCUCAAAGAGAGGCUUCUCAAGAAUUGGAUCUGGAUCGGAUCCGAUGAUCAUAGCUCCGGCUCCAUCACCAAACAAGGCAACACCAACAAGAUCAUACGGUCUAUCAGCACUCGGAGGUUUGAACCCAAUGACGGUCGUCUCAGACGUGGCGAGAAGGACUCUACUCCCCGGAUUAUUCUCAGCUAUGUCUUUGGCUACACGGAGACCCGCAACGCCACCAGAACAGCCAACGAAGUAGAGCAGGACACGGUGUGUCUCGGGGCUGAGACCAAGCCCUUUGGCUAAGAAGAGGUCGCCACUAGGGAGACGAGCUUCGCUUGAAGAUACGUAGACAAGGUGAGUUAUGUCGGAAAUAGAACGGCCCCAGUUCUUGAUGCAGGCUCUAGAAGCCUCCACUGCCAUUUCGGUUACAGCGUCGUUGCAUAUGUCAAGACGCUGCUUCACGGUGGAUCCUCCUUCAAUGGCGAGCUCUGGAUACUUGUUUAGUAUCUCCUCUGACAUGACAACAUACCUUGUCUUCACCGUCGUAGUCUUGCCUGUAUAGUAAUUGAAAGUGUCAAAACAACCUCAGGUUCUCAGAAAAGCUUAUACAAAGUAAACUCAAAAAAAGGGUUGAAGUGAAGACAUUACAGAGACGAGUAAGCUUCUGUUUGAGUUCAGGGUCAUCACAGUUGGUGGUUUUGAAGUAGCCAUCAACCAAAUACUCUUGCAUUACUAGCUGCUGAGGAAAGGCUUUUCCAAUUGCAAGAAUUGUAGCUUUCCCCGGAUUUGGUUUCUUCUCUGAACCCAACUCUGUUGCAUCGAUGCUUCCCAUUUCUAUCUAUCUCUUUUUUUCUUUUCUUGGUCUAUUUAAAAGGGUCAAAGUGAAGGCAUAUAUAUACACUGCAGCUUUUGAAGUAUAUGAUCUGCACCUUGUGUGAUGUUUGUCUAGUUUGAUAUUUGGUGAAGAUUAGGUGUGAGAUUCAGGAGCUUCAUGUUUAUUGCAUUGGCUCUUUCUAAAAAAUAUUAGGCCUUAACUAAAAGUGAUACUAGUUACUAACCAACAGAAGAGUAAGUAAUUUUGGACUUGAAAAGAAUGGCCAGAGAAAGUUUAUUGCUAUUUCAAGCAUAAAUAAAAAAAAGAACAUCAACAAUGCAAUGAAAUAAGAUGAAAGCAAAUCUUGUUAUGUUGAUUGGUAUCAAAAUUUGUUGAGUUUCUACAUAUGAGACUGAUCCAUCAUCAUAUGAAAGAGAGCCAAAAAAGAGAACUCAUGAGGAAAAAUGGAGUUAAAAUGAACUCACUGCUCCAACCUAUUGCCUAAUUUGCCUAUAACCUCUCCCUUUUGCUUGAAUCUUUAUUAAAAACGUGAACCUCUCUCUCUUCAGAGGUCUGAAAGACACUUGCCACUGAUGAAGUCAAUCACUUUGGUAAUGGACUCAUCAAGUUGGGCAGUGACUGCAGCUAAAUUCUCCAAAAACUCCUCUGAGGUUGGUCUAUUUCCGUCCACAAUAUCAGUUACUCCUUUUAUUAAAAUCGUAGGAACCUUAAAAAUAUCAGCCACAUAGGCCACUGCUGCUCCCUGAAUUUUGUGGAGAUACCCAAUAUAAGCAGUUGCGACUGAUUAAAACACAUAGAUUGGAGCAAAAGGUUCAUGGAUUGUUUACCUCCAUGUCUUUAACUGUAGCAUCAUUUGCUGUGAUGGAUUCUUUGUCAUGUGGAGACAUAUCCAUAGAAUCACCAGUGGAUAAUCGUCCCACCUGUGAACAUCAAGAUGCUUCUUGCAGAAACUCUCCACGUUGUCUUCUAUUAUCUGCGGAAGCUCUCUAGACAGCGUGAAGUUUAUCCCUUGUUCCGUUAGCUUCCCAUCUAUCGUCUUCUCCGUGUCUGCACCAUGAAAAUGCAAUCCAUGUUUAGUCUAAGUUAUAGGUUACAAAGUAUCUUGUAGCUUUACCAGGCAGGAAGUUCUGAAUUGCAGUGUGAAGCUCAAAGAGAGGCUUCUCAAGAAUCGGAUCUGGAUCGGAUCCGAUGAUCAUAGCUCCGGCUCCAUCACCAAACAAGGCAACACCAACAAGAUCAUACGGUCUAUCAGCACUCGGAGGUUUGAACCCAAUGACGGUCGUCUCAGACGUGGCGAGAAGGACUCUACUCCCCGGAUUAUUCUCAGCUAUGUCUUUGGCUACACGGAGACCCGCAACGCCACCAGAACAGCCAACGAAGUAGAGC